UUUCCCCUCCGCUCUUCCGGGCACACGGUUCCCACGAGACUCGGGUUUCCCCCGGGACCUGCUGUCCCCGCGGGGCCGGAGGGUUUUCCAGAUCCGGGGCUGCUCGGCCUUCCUGAGCAGGCAGCCACGGCCUGUCUCUCCCCGCUGGGUUGUGCAAACCCGGUGAUGACGGUCCCAGAUACGAUCUUUUUCUUCAUUUGUGCUGUCCUCACCGAGAAGUGAGAACAGCCGAUGACCGCAGAUUCCCGUUUCCAGGAACGCAGCAUCCCAGCCCUGGCGUGACCCUGGCCGGGAGUUCCCGGGCUGGCAAGGGGGCUGUAGGAGCAGGCCCCGGGGGAGGGCAGAAGCCCGGGAGCUGUGCUGCAGCCCCGCACACGCUGCAGCCCCGCACACGCUGCAGUCCCGCACACGCUGCAGCCCCGCACACGCUGCAGCCGUGCUGCCGGCCGUGGGGCUCAUCCCUUCCCCUCCCAAAGCAGACCUAAACUGUGGGCUUGUCCACAGGGUCUGCCUCCAUGGGUAGAGCCCUCAGUCCAGCUGGGAGAACCAGAACUGAGACCUCACUGAUGUUUCAGCUCUCCCCCCAUGGCACCAUUUCCCCCCUACCUGCUGGAGGAAGCCCCAGCACGGAGGUGCCGGGGCCGGGAUAAGCGGCAGCAGCGGCGGGGGCAGCAGCAG